rnacentral:rRNA from 1 species
UUAGCCGGCCAUAGAGGCAGGGUCCGACCUGGUCCCAUCUGAACCCAGAAGUCAAACCUGUCGUCGCUAUCGUGUUACUUACUUGCGUGAGCAGUUGGGAAGCGAUGGUGCUGGCACUA